rnacentral:rRNA from 1 species
UGGGGAAUAUUGCACAAUGGGCGCAAGCCUGAUGCAGCCAUGCCGCGUGUGUGAAGAAGGCCUUCGGGUUGUAAAGCACUUUCAGCGAGGAGGAAGGUGGUGGACUUAAUACGUUCAUCAAUUGACGUUACUCGCAGAAGAAGCACCAGCUAACUCCGUGCCAGCAGCCGCGGUAAUACGGAGGGUGCAAGCGUUAAUCGGAAUUACUGGGCGUAAAGCGCACGCAGGCGGUUUGUUAAGUCAGAUGUGAAAUCCCCGGGCUCAACCUGGGAACUGCAUUUGAAACUGGCAAGCUAGAGUCUCGUAGAGGGGGGUAGAAUUCCAGGUGUAGCGGUGAAAUGCGUAGAGAUCUGGAGGAAUACCGGUGGCGAAGGCGGCCCCCUGGANGAAGACUGACGCUCAGGAGCGAAAGCGUGGGGAGCAAACNGGAUUANAUACCCUGGUAGUCCACGCUGUAAACGAUGUCGAUUUUGGAGGUUGUGCCCUUGAGGCGUGGCUUCCGGAGCUAACGCGUUAAAUCGACCGCCUGGGGAGUACGGCC